rnacentral:tRNA from 3 species
GGGCCCAUGGUCUAGCGGUCAUGACGACUCCCUUACACGGAGUAGGUCGCCGGUUCGAAUCCGGCUGGGCCCA